rnacentral:rRNA from 1 species
AAAGCUUGCUUUCUUUGCUGGCGACGGCGCACGGGUGAGUAACACGUAUCCAACCUGCCCUUACUCGGGAUAGACCUUUCGAAAGAAAGAUUAAUACCCGAUGGCAUAAUGAUUCCGCAUGGUUUCAUUAUUAAAGGAUUCCGGUAAAGGAUGGGGAUGCGUUCCAUUAGGUUGUUGGUGAGGUAACGGCUCACCAAGCCUUCGAUGGAUAGGGGUUCUGAGAGGAAGGUCCCCCACAUUGGAACUGAGACACGGUCCAAACUCCUACGGGAGGCAGCAGUGAGGAAUAUUGGUCAAUGGGCGCUAGCCUGAACCAGCCAAGUAGCGUGAAGGAUGAAGGCUCUAUGGGUCGUAAACUUCUUUUAUAUAAGAAUAAAGUGCAGUAUGUAUACUGUUUUGUAUGUAUUAUAUGAAUAAAAGGAUCGGCUAACUCCGUGCC